GUAUAGGUUCAUCCUUAAAAAAAAAAGGGAAAGAAUUAUGUCCAAUAUUUGAGUUUUGAUGAUAAGAACUUACAAAUUAAUUUAAAAUAGAAAAUAUAAUUGUGUCAUUGUUCAGGUAAAUGGGUCAAGAACUCCAACCCUAAUCCGACACGAAAAAAAUAGUGUUGAUCUAAACCUGAUCCAUUUAAUAAUCGUGUCAAAUUUGAUGAUUCAUACCCAUUUUUUCGUACCGUAUUCGUGUCGGAUAAUCGGAACGUGUUAAAUUUUACUAGCUUUAAUCUCGACAACAAAAUAAGGGAAAUUAAUAUGUUAUCUUACUGCACAAUAAUUUAAGUUGGAUUGGUUUGAGCUAUUGCUACUCUAUGGUAAAAUCCAUUAGCGUGACAAAAAAGAUUUAGGGUUUGAAUGUACCUACGUAAAUAAGGAGUCAGACAAAUUAAUAAUAGAGUGUUUAUUUAAUGAUGGUUCCCUAAUUUAUAUUAAAGUGCGAAAAGCCUUAUUAAAAAUUUUUUUAACUGAAAGUAAAGUUAACUAGCUUUGUGUAUUAACCAAUGUAAAAUAGUUAGCGAUUUUAAUGACUUGUAUUCAACAAAUAGAAAACACAUCAUCCUUAUAGGCCUACACUACUAUAAAAAUGGACUACCAUGACAGAGAAUAUAUGUCAUCCGACCCCCCUUAUGACAGAGUUUCCAUCUGUCAUUUUAGCCCCUCUCACAAAUCUGUGACAACGUUUUAUCUAUCAUGUUCCUAUGACAGUGUCUAUCCAUCACACAUAUGUCAUGAACCAAGUGAUGUUCGAUUUUCAAAGCUUUCGGGAAUUAAUUGAAAAUUUUAGCGGGUAAUUUAAAUUAUUUUGAAUUUGGCGGGUUUCUUCAAAAUCUGCAUAUAUUAAUGAUUCACAUUCUCUAUCAAGAGAUUUAAGGUUUAAAAAAUAAAAUUAUUAUUUUCAAUUUUGAAAUUAUAUUAAUACUAAUUAGCAUUAUUUAAAUUAUAGAAUUUUGAAAUAGAAAUAGAAAAAGUCACAUUUUAAAACUUGAAUGAACAAAAAUAAAAUUACAUUCAAAUUCAUAAAACUAUCUAAUAUCAAAUAGCACUAUACACUAAAAAUUCCAAUCACUUGAAACUUCCAACAAAUAGCAUCAUCAAAAUACAUCGUCUAUCAUAUCUCAUAAAUCCUUUACAAUAUCCAAUCAUCAGCCUAUCACUAAAAAAACAAUUAAUCCAUAAAAAAAACAUUGAUAUUAAAUUCCCGAAAGCCACCAACAUCACCUGAAAAAUAGAUUAACCAAAAAAAUACAGAUUAACAUGUUGACCACAUACAAUUAAUCAAAUUCACAAUAAAGUUCACCAGUGUGUAAUUGAUUUAAUCAGCUUUGAUACCAAAGGGAAAAUGAGGAUAAAUAGCCCCAGAGGAAAAAAAAUCACAUUUGACAUAAUGAAGCAGUAAACCUCAUGAGUUGUAAAAGAGAAAUAGGAAAGGGAAAAUAAGGGAAAUCUUCAAUGCAUGUAGUAUAUAUUAACUUUUUUUUUUGUUCCUAAAGAUGUAUUAAGAGGAACAAGGAUAUUCAUUCAAUGCAUGCAUCUCCGAUUUGUUAAUCUAAUUAUUCUCCUAUUCCUGUUGGUUAAUAAGGGAGUCAAUAAGAUUUUAAUUUAACAAUAUAGCAGUGACAAUUAACUAGGUCUUCAUUAAGAGUUGUUGAAUUAGAAAAGAUUUAAGUAUAAACAAACUAUUGUGCAACAUAAUACAUACUGAUGAGAAAUAUCGAACCAAGUGCAAUGCCAAAUACAAGAAAAGAGAAUUUUUAGUCUAGCCUUCUAUAGAUUUCAAUUCUGAAUUUCGUUAUGCACCAAACUGAGUAUAUUUCAAAGACUACAAAUUAAUUAAUGCAAAACAUCUAAAAACAUAACAACUUUCCAUACAUAAUUAAACAAAAUCCACCAAAAUCAAGCUAAUAAAAAGAAAGGUAAAAGUUCUAAAAAUCCAAAAGAGGAUAUCAGAAAAUUCUGGAAUCACCAGAAUCUCCCCAUUCUAUCAACCUUAAUGCCAUGCUUGUAGGCUUGUAAACACUGACCCUAUCCAACUCAAAGAAAGAAAACGCGGGCUAGUAUUCUCAUCUGGAUUACAUCACAUUAGCAUUUGAGAUAUUUUUACUUUAAUGUUUCAAAGAGAAGAAUUUUUGUUAAAGCAAGAUUUUCAACAAAUAUGUUUAAAGGAAUGCUCAUUGUCCAAGGAUUUAAAAGGAUACCGAGUAUAAGUUUGUUUACAAUAUAUUUUUUAUUUUUAUUUUUUUCUUUUUUCUUGUUAAACUACGAUAAACUGAAAAAUACAAGUAUAUCUUGAUUUUAAAAAUCAACCAAGACAAGAAAAUAGAAUGAACAACUAUUCUUAUAGGAAACGAAUGGAAAACCUCUAAAUGUAGUCAUUGGUUUAUUAAGGAUAGUUGGAACCAUAAACAGUGGAUAGGUUUCUAAUGAAAAUAAUAAAAUCCAUCAUCUAUAUAAAUUGAGAAAAAAUAAAUUUCAUGUCAAAGAUCUAAAAAAUUUGACGGAAACCUAAUAGUAAACAAAUAUUCAAUUCAUAAUAGUAUAAAUAAUAAAAACAUUAUUGUCAACUUGAAACGUAAAGUUGCUUUGUGUUUUUGUCAGCCAGUCCUAUUGUUUUUAGCAAAACAACAAACCUUAGCAUUUUAAUUGGUAACAAAUCAAAACCAACAUAAAAAUAAAAUUAGAAAAGAUAUAGAGAUGUAUUCUACCAUUGUGCAAUGCUGGUAUCGUCACCGUCUAUUCAAUAAAGAUCAAUGGCCCCCUUAGACAGGACAUAACUCGAGUGAUAGGAAAAAGAAAAUUAAAUAGUUGUCAUGAGCUAUCUUAAACUUAUGCAAUCAAAUAUUUCAAAGAUGAUGCUAAAACAAACCAAUGUAAAAACAUUAUUACCUUGAACCAUUAUCACCAAAGCAGUGAAGUCAAACCACAGUGGCUUGCUGUCUACCUUUGCCUGACUACAUAGGUCCUUCUGAACUGAUCUAAUGUUUUUCUAACAGUUUUAACCCCUGAAAAAAAGUCAUCACAAAAUUCAAUAAUCAAGAUUAAUGAUGAAGAAUUUUACAUACGUAACAAAAACCCAUAAUUACUAACAAAAGAAUUUCAUAAUGAAAGUUUUUUUAAUAAACCUCAACAAAGCUUUGUCAAGAGAAAACAUAAAUUACAAAAAUGAUAGAGUAUAAAAUAAAUAGGGGAGAAUAGAACAGCUAAGCCCCUUUACAGCAAGUAUCGAAAUGAACUAAAUAACAAUGGCACAUGUUAGCUAAAACGGUAAUAGAGGUUCUUUAAUUUUUUUUUUUUGAAGAAAGCCAUGAGUCUCUGGAGGGUCAGUAGUUCUUAGAGAAGAGCCCAAGUUUUCCAAAGUUACUGUACUAAAUACACAACAGGCUGAAUCAAAUUUUAUUGGAAGAAUUAUUGUACAAAACCAUUGCAAUUAACCCCAAAUUACAACCAACCAAGCCCUAGUAAUUUAAUUGAGAGUUACUAUAUGAAAAAUGAAAAAUUCAACACUAUCACCUCGACUGAUACCUAACUUGCAGGGAGGGAAACAGAAGACCAUUUGUACCAAAAGCUCGCUUCACUUUGAACAAUGACAGUGAGGUUGGGGAAUCAAAUUAAAGGUCAUGUGGCUGUAGCCCUCCUGACUUGCUGCAAAAUGUGCAAUUUGAGUUUCGACUCUAGUCCCCGGCCCCAUUGCAAUGUUCGCUAACUCAACCUUUCCUCUGAAAUGUUUAUUUUUUAGGGUAUUAUUACUCAAUAUAUGAAAAAUCCAAUUGAGGAACAAAAGAAUAGAGAAGAAUGAAAUUUAUUUACCUUCAUCAACUGGAGCGAUAGUGAGGGUUUCUUCAAAAACGAUUGGUGAGUUUGAAGGAUUACUUAAUAGCAAAGGAUUUAGGGUUUGGAGGAGAACAACAACUUCUACAUGGCAAAUAACAACAAUUUCGAAGGAUUAAGGGUUUAUUUUCGUCUUCUUUAUUAGUGAGGGAAGAGCCUCAAAUUUUGACUUAGGGUUUUAAUUUUGGAUUUCUCACUUGCAGCGAGGAAUCUGAUCUAUUAAAGUUGUACAACACUUGGAAAUUAUUUUAGUUAAGUGUCCAGCUCAUAAACGACGUAGUUUCCUCUUUGUAAAUUCUAUUUUGAUUUUAGUUUAAUUAAAAGCUUUCAAUUGUUGCAAUAAAUUAAUGAAUUGACGUCAUUCGUUUUUGUUGAAAUGACGUCACUUUUGUGAACUACUUAAUAAUAAAUUAAAAAUAAAUCGAAAAUGAAUAAAAUAUAUUAAUUUUUUAUUAUAGCUUGUGAUAGAAAUUUAGUUUGUCACAUAAGUAUUAUAUAGUUGUGAUACAUAAAAACUUUGUCAAAUGUCUAUCAUACAUUCUUGAUAAAUAACUAAUUUUCUAUUAUCUAUCACAAAAAAUCUGUCAUAGUAAGUCAUUUUUCUAGUAGUGCUACUUGAGAGAAUGCAAUUAACUUCUUCUUCUUCUUUUUUUUUUU
rnacentral:lncRNA from 1 species